rnacentral:rRNA from 1 species
AUGAACUUUUUUUUACGAAAAAACCGGAGGAAAAAACCGACGAAAAAACCAAACCGGAACACGGGUUUUUUCCCUUUCCGAAAGAGGCACGCUCGUGCUCUGACGAAAUCACAAUCGUGCCUCUCGCGGAAGCAAAACCGUGCCUCUCGGAAAAAAAAACAGAAAACGCGUCUUUUUUCCCUUUCCGGAAGAGGCACGCCCGUGCCUCUUGCGAAAGCACAACCGUGCUUUUCGCGGAAGCAAAACCGUGCCUCUCGCGAAAGAAAAAAAACAGAAAACAUGUUUUUUUCGUUUCCGAGGAGGCAAGGCCGUGACUCGCGAAAGCACAACCGUGCCUCUCGCGGAAGCAAAACCGUGCCUCUCUCGAAAGGAAAAAAAAACAGAAAACACGUUUUUUUUCGUUUCCAAGAGGCACGGCCGUGCCUCUCGCGAAAAAAACCGUGA